GACGAACGCUGGCGGCGCGCUUAACACAUGCAAGUCGAACGGAAAGGCCUGCUUUCCCUUGUGGAUUGCGGGUACUCGAGUGGCGAACGGGUGAGUAACACGUGAGUGAUCUGCCCCCAACUUGGGUAUAAGCCUGGGAAACUGGGUCUAAUUCCCGAUAGGACUGCAGGGUGGUGCCUGUGGUGGAAAACGAUUUUCUAGUGGUUGGGGAUGAGCUCGCGGCCUAUCAGCUUGUUGGUGGGGUAAUGGCCUACCAAGGCGGCGACGGGUAGCCGGCCUGAGAGGGUGGACGGCCACAUUGGGACUGAGAGACGGCCCAGACUCCUACGGGAGGCAGCAGUGGGGAAGAUUGCACAAUGGGCGGAAGCCUGAUGCAGCGACGCCGCGUGGGGGAUGACGGCCUUCGGGUUGUAAACUCCUUUCGACCGCGAGGAAGCCACCUGGUUGGAAGGGUGGUGACGGUAGUGGUAGAAGAAGCACCGGCUAACUACGUG
rnacentral:rRNA from 1 species